UGGGGAAUAUUGCACAAUGGGCGCAAGCCUGAUGCAGCCAUGCCGCGUGUGUGAAGAAGGCCUUCGGGUUGUAAAGCACUUUCAGCGGGGAGGAAGGCGUUAAGGUUAAUAACCUUGGCGAUUGACGUUACCCGCAGAAGAAGCACCGGCUAACUCCGUGCCAGCAGCCGCGGUAAUACGGAGGGUGCAAGCGUUAAUCGGAAUUACUGGGCGUAAAGCGCACGCAGGCGGUUUGUUAAGCCAGAUGUGAAAUCCCCGGGCUCAACCUGGGAACUGCAUCUGAUACUGGCAAGCUUGAGUCUCGUAGAGGGGGGUAGAAUUCCAGGUGUAGCGGUGAAAUGCGUAGAGAUCUGGAGGAAUACCGGUGGCGAAGGCGGCCCCCUGGACGAAGACUGACGCUCAGGUGCGAAAGCGUGGGGAGCAAACAGG
rnacentral:rRNA from 1 species